CGCGGGGUGGAGCAGUGGUAGCUCGUCGGGCUCAUAACCCGAAGGUCACAGGUUCAAGUCCUGUCCCCGCAA
rfam:Caryophanon tenue strain DSM 14152 DSM_14152_R1_001_contig_32, whole genome shotgun sequence.